UGGGGAAUAUUGCACAAUGGGGGAAACCCUGAUGCAGCGACGCCGCGUGAAGGAAGAAGUAUUUCGGUAUGUAAACUUCUAUCAGCAGGGAAGAAAAUGACGGUACCUGACUAAGAAGCUCCGGCUAAAUACGUGCCAGCAGCCGCGGUAAUACGUAUGGAGCAAGCGUUAUCCGGAUUUACUGGGUGUAAAGGGAGCGUAGGCGGUAGGGCAAGUCUGAUGUGAAACUCCGGGGCUCAACUCCGGACUUGCAUUGGAAACUGUCAGACUGGAGUGCGGGAGAGGCAGGCGGAAUUCCUAGUGUAGCGGUGAAAUGCGUAGAUAUUAGGAGGAACACCAGUGGCGAAGGCGGCCUGCUGGACCGUAACUGACGCUGAGGCUCGAAAGCGUGGGGAGCGAACAGG
rnacentral:rRNA from 1 species